rnacentral:misc_RNA from 1 species
GAAAUGCGAUAAGUAAUGUGAAUUGCAGAAUUCAGUGAAUCAUCGAAUCUUUGAACGCACCUUGCGCUCCUUGGUAUUCCGAGGAGCAUGCCUGUUUGAGUGUCAUGGAAUUCUCAACUCUAUUUGCUUUUGUGAAUAGAGCUUGGAUUUGGAGGUUUAUUGCUGGUACUUGUGAUCGGCUCCUCUUGAAUGCAUUAGCUCGAACCUUUGCGGAUCAGCUAUCGGUGUGAUAAUUGUCUACGCCGUUGCAGUGAAGCAUAUCAAUGGGCUCGGCUUCCAAUCGUCCUUUACUGGACAAUGACUUUGACCUUUGACCUCAAAUCAGGUAGUAUUACCCGCUGAACUUAAGC